AGGGUGCUCCUAAGCCAAUUGCCAUUGAGCCUUGUUCAGGAAACAAAGCAGCAGUCCUCACUGUAUUUCUAUGUCUACCGAGAGGAUCAUCAGGAGUUCCACCCCCUGGUCAAUCAGGUCUUGCAAUUGCAAGUGCCUUGAUAGACAUUUCCCAGCAGAAGCCUGCAGACUGUAAAGAUAAGAGUUCAGGAGUCAGAAAUCGAAAACAUCAUCUUUCAACACGUCAAGGAACUUGUGUCUGAGGUCCAGAAAAUGCACUUGUACAUGCUGCAAUGUUUUCUUUUAAAUGGCUUCCAUUGAAAGCUAUACUACAGCCUCAGUUUUUAUGGAGGCAAACCUAUGGAUUAUGAUGAUGAAGAUGAUGAUAAGUAAUGUGCCCUGUUUUAUUCACAUUUGCAGCCAGCUAUGCCCCACAGCAGAACAACCUUAUGGCAAAUACGAAUAUAUAUGAUGAGUUUAUUUAGAAAUAAACUAAAUACUUAUCUUGAUGCUGAGCAUGUAUUGCAACAGGGUGGGCACUGACUAUAUCCAGGAGAAACUGUACAUUGUUUUGUAAUGUAGAAGGAAAUUGUAUAAUUGCAAACUAAACUAUUCACAGGACACUAAAAGACAUUUUUGUAGAGCUUAAUUUAAUGGUGAGAUUGUACAGUUUUCUUCUAGUAAUCAGGGUUAAAAUUCCCUUACAGAAAGCAGGAACUGAAGGUACUGAUCUAGAUUGAGGCAUUGUUUUAUAAUUGCCCAAAUCAGGCAGAUUUUGAAUUAAAAAGUAGAUAUGUGUAGCCAAACAAAACAGCAAAUCUAUAUUUUGAAGUUCCUAUAAUAUAAAAAUCCUGAUUAAAGCAUAUCAUGGUUUUAUUUACCUUCCUAAAGUUCCUGAAAUAUAAUCUGGGCUGCAACAGGAUGAUGGGUGAAUUUCAGUAUUGCACUUGCACUUCAUAAGAAGUUUAUUGGAAUUCUGACUGAGAUGUAUUUUAAAGAGUGCAUGUUGGUCUUCCAUACCAACUAAUUAAUUAUCUGAGCUAACUAAGCAUGGAAAAUUCUGUGUUGAAAUCAAGUUCCCUUUUUUCCAAAACCUCUUUCCAAGAUUGCAAGCCUAAGGAGAGUUUAACUUGCUGUAACUUUACAGUAGUGUACCAACUUCUGCUUCAAUACAGUAAUAUUCUAAAGUGACUGUAAAUCACUGUCCGUAUCACCCAGCAAAAGAGUUGCACUUCAAACAGCACAUUGGCCCGUAAAUAAUAAUAAUUAAUAAUAAAUUAUCCUCUUCUUGCCUUCCUUUCCCAGCUGCAGAAUUUCAUUUGAUCUUCAUUUUCCUCCUAUUUCAAGAAAUAUCCUGCAUACAAAAUAAAUAUAAUAAUGAACUUGAAAAAGCCAGCUUGAUUCCAACCAUGAUUCUCAGAUCAUCCAUCCAAUAAGGGACAUCAUCAAAUCAGUGCUCAACAACAAUAAAGUGAACAGAAGAGCAUUUUUUUCACUAAGCAUUAGUCUAACAAGCUUUGAGGAGCUUGUUCACCAUGGUAAAAAUUUCAGCAAAUGGUUUCAUAUGUCUCCGCUCACUGUAUUUUCAGUUAGUUAUAAUUCUGAAAUACGGCAAAAGAAAAUGAGAUGGCUAAGGAGGGAGGUAGCAGAUGGGUCUUAUUCUCAAUUAUGCAUUAAGCGUUGAUGACAGUUUAUAUGAAACCUGUAGUUUUGUUAGAUCUUGCUUGGAAGUGAAGUUUAUCACCUCCGCAGUUGCCAAGGUGCUAAUGUAGGAGAGAGCCACAGAUGUAUAAAUGCCUCUUGUAUAUGAUAGAGUUUUGGUAAAUAUGAACGAUAUAAAAAGAUAAUUGAUGUUUACUACUAUAGCUGUAUUUUUCAUUUUCUUUUUUAUUUCAGGAAGGUGAUGACAUUUUACUAUUUACAAUUGACUACAUAGUUACUUGCAUGCCAUGGUGGUGCAGUAGCAGUAAUAAAGCCCUAUUGUGAGUUGGUAGUGUUUACUUUGUAAUGCCAUUCAUACAUAAAACUAUUCAGCUUAAUUUGGAUGAGGACAGAAUGUAAAAAUUAAAUAAAUAUUAAAAGGAAUGGUUGUACAGGAUUAUUAGGUUGCAUCUUACCAUGACUGCUAUAUUGUUUUGACAAAUUGUGAAUUUAUGAAUUAUGCUAUAAUUAUUCCUUAGCUGGCAUGAUUGUUUCAGUAUUUUCCUAUCUUAAAAUAUGACUAUUUCUUAAGCUAAAAUAACGCCAUCAUGAUAUUAUGUUUUUAUUGACUAUUCUGACCUCACUCCCUAAUUUUUUAAAACCUAAGACUCAUUUUUAAAGAUUCUGUUAUGAAUUUUCAGUCAAUUCUACUUAAAACUGAAAAAAGAGUUCUGAAAAUAGCCCCUUCUGUCAAUUUGAAUGCAGAUCUGCUCAAGGGAAAAUAAGCCAGUAGAAAUAGUGUAUAUGGUGAAUAAGCCAAUCAUAAAGAAAAGAAAUAAACCACUUGUCUGGAGAUUUUCCCUAAUUCUGUAAUAUCUUUAUGCUGAAACAUUAUGCAUGAGAAAUAUACAGGUUUUUUCUGUGGACCUAAGACCCACAGUACACAGGACAUACGUUCUCAGAGCACUACUCUGACUUUAAUCCCCCAGAUUAAUUGAAUCUACCUAUAGUCAUCUGAAGUUUGAUGUUACUUGAAAAAUAAAUUUAAAUUUAAAUGGAUUUUAAUGUUUAUUGUAACACUUGAGAUGGGCAGAUAUGCAUCAGGAAUUUAGUAAUUUAUCCAUUAAAACAUGUUUUUAUUGUUCAAGUAAACUUACCUUGGGGUCAUUCAACAUUUUCAUUACAUUGAGUACUUUUUCUAAUUCUUUUGUUGUUUCUUCUCCCAGAGUCCCUGACUAUAUGCAGAUUAGUGAAAAUAAAUACAUCAAGUAGAAAUAUUAAUAUAAUAUUGUCAUUAAAUGGAAGUUUGCAACUAGUAUCAAACCACAGUAUCAGAGAGCUGUGAAAAUACUGAUUUGUCUCAGAUACCACACUAUGCAAAUUGUUGGCAAAUAUUGACUCUUAAUGGUGACCGCUGUACAGUAGGUGACAGAUAGUCUCGUUUUCUUUAUGCUCAAGAAUGUUCAAUGCUCUGCUUUUGAGCUCUUAAUCCAAUGCAGAAAAUGUUGAGUGGCCCUUUGUAACAUUAGUGUAAUUUAUGUAGAACUACGAAUAUAGGGCUAAAAACUGAUCUGGUUAGUGGCCCUGUGGUGAAAUUCUAACCAUCAGGAUUCUAUAACUGUUUAAUUUCUUUGCAAACCAGUCUUUAAUAGUUCUGGGGACAAAUUCACAGCCAUAAAUUACCGUUCAAAGCAAAAUAAAAGAUAUAUUGCAUACUGUAGCAUGGAUGGACCUCUGCAUUUCUCGUGUGUGUGUGUUUGUGUGUACCCUUUCAUGAAGCUACUUGAAUGUAGUCUGUGUAAAUAUGUUACACUUCAGAAUGUAAUGAGUUCUGUUAAUUAUAUUUCCUUGUUAGAGACAGACAUAUAUGUUUAACUGGGCAAAUUCAGAUUCAAAUCUGACUGCAUUUUUUUCCAAGGGAGCCCUCUUUUUAUACAGUAGAACCAAAAACAUGGAACAUUUGAAAAUAUUGGGUCUUGAUAUAUAGAGAGAGUCUGAUGUAUAAAAUCAGCAGCAGUGAUGAAUUUCUCAAACAAUUUACAUUGUAGGUCUGGAAUCCUGAGGGUAAGAAUUGAGAGCUCACUUCCACAAUGGCUCAAUCUUUAGGCCUAAUAUAUUCGACAGUAUUCAUCUAGAUUACAAUGUCAUUAUGUACUUAUUUCAUUCCCGGUUUUAUUUUAAAACAACCUGAAGGAUUUCUGGACAAUAAAGGUAAAGUCUCUGUUAAAAGAA